rnacentral:rRNA from 1 species
GGAUUAGAUACCCUGGUAGUCCUAGCUGUAAACGAUGGAUACUAAGUGUUGGGCUUUUAGAGUUCAGUGCUGUAGCUAACGCGUUAAGUAUCCCGCCUGGGGAGUAUGCUCGCAAGGGUGAAACUCAAAGGAAUUGACGGGGGCCCGCACAAGCGGUGGAGCAUGUGGUUUAAUUCGAAGCAACGCGAAGAACCUUACCAAAUCUUGACAUCCUUCUGACCGUUCCUUAAUCGGAACUUUCCUUCGGGACAGAAGAGACAGGUGGUGCAUGGUUGUCGUCAGCUCGUGCUG